UAGUGGCGAACGGGUGAGUAACGCGUAAUCAACCUGCCCUUCAGAGGGGGACAACAGUUGGAAACGACUGCUAAUACCGCAUACGAUCUAACCUCGGCAUUCAGGAUAGAUGAAAGGUGGCCUCUAUUUUUAAGCUAUCACUGAAGGAGGGGAUUGCGUCUGAUAUGCGAUAGUGAGGGGGGACGGGGCCCCCCGGCGGAUGACCAGUGCCGGUUUGAGAGGAUGAACGGCCACCAUUGGACUGAGACACGGCCCAGACUCCUACGGGAGGCAGCAGUGGGGAAUCUUCCGCAAUGGACGAAAGUCUGACGGAGCAACGCCGCGUGAGUGAUGACGGCCUUCGGGUUUAAAGCUUCGUUAAUCGGGAAGAAAGGGCCUCUGCGCGAACAGUGAGAAGGAUUGACGGUACCGGAAUAGAAAGCCACGGCUAACUACGUGCCAGCAGCCGCGGUAAUACGUAGGUGGCAAGCGUUGUCCGGAAUUAUUGGGCGUAAAGCGCGCGCAGGCGGAUCAGUCAGUCUGUCUUAAAAGUUCGGGGCUUAACCCCGUGAUGGGAUGGAAACUGCUGAUCUAGAGUAUCGGAGAGGAAAGUGGAAUUCCUAGUGUAGCGGUGAAAUGCGUAGAUAUUAGGAAGAACACCAGUGGCGAAGGCGACUUUCUGGACGAAAACUGACGCUGAGGCGCGAAAGCCAGGGGAGCGAACGGGAUUAGAUACCCCGGUAGUCCUGGCCGUAAACGAUGGGUACUAGGUGUAGGAGGUAUCGACCCCUUCUGUGCCGGAGUUAACGCAAUAAGUACCCCGCCUGGGGAGUACGACCGCAAGGUUGAAACUCAAAGGAAUUGACGGGGGCCCGCACAAGCGGUGGAGUAUGUGGUUUAAUUCGACGCAACGCGAAGAACCUUACCAGGUCUUGACAUUGAGUGAAAGGGCAAGAGAUUGUCCCCUUAUCUUCGGAUAACACGAAAACAGGUGGUGCAUGGUUGUCGUCAGCUCGUGUCGUGAGAUGUUGGGUUAAGUCCCGCAACGAGCGCAACCCCUAUCUUAUGUUGCCAGCACUUCGGGUGGGAACUCAUGAGAGACUGCCGCAGACAAUGCAGAGGAAGGCGGGGAUGACGUCAAAUCAUCAUGCCCCUUAUGACCUGGGCUACACACGUACUACAAUGGGAGUUAAUAGACGGAAGCGAGAUCGCGAGAUGGAGCAAACCCGAGAAACACUCUUUCAGUUCGGAUGGUAGGCUGCAACUCGCCUACGUGAAGUCGGAAUCGCUAGUAAUCGCAGGUCAGCAUACUGCGGUGAAUACGUUCCCGGGCCUUGUACACACCGCCCGUCACACCACGAAAGUCGGAAGUGCCCAAAGCCGGUGGGGUAACCUUCGGGAGCCAGCCGUCUAAGGUAAAGUCGAUGAUUGGGGAAAAGUCGUAA
rnacentral:rRNA from 1 species